GGAUUGGAACUGGAUGAGCUUUGAGGUCCCUUCCAAACCAAACCAGUCUGGGAUGCUGUGAUUCUACGAAUGUAUUCUAAAAUAUCCACUGUACCCUGAGGGUUCUCAAAGCAUGUCAGGGCGCAGGCUACUAAGCCCUCUGCCCUGCUUGCCCCCAUAUUUCUACUCCUGUUUGUCCCCAAAGAAGAGCUCAGCAGUACGAAAGGUGACAGCAAGCAUGACACAGCACAGUGAAAUUUCAAGAUGUACAAAGGCAUUUCCACAAGGCAGGCACCUCAUCUCUGCAACCCAAGACCUCUUCCAGAAUGGAAGUUGCUUUUGAGUAGCAACAAAGAAGAUCUAUACCAUUUCUUGCAACCUCCUAUGUUCUCAGGGAUCCAGUUUCUUCAUUUCAGCAUAUCCUACAGACGUGAAAGAAGAACAUGUUUUCUUGCCAAAUUCAAUACAAUAAAGAAGUUAAAUGAAAGAAAAAAA